rnacentral:rRNA from 1 species
AUUGAACGCUGGCGGCAUGCCUUACACAUGCAAGUCGAACGGUAACAGGUCUUCGGAUGCUGACGAGUGGCGAACGGGUGAGUAAUACAUCGGAACGUGCCCGAUCGUGGGGGAUAACGCAGCGAAAGCUGUGCUAAUACCGCAUACGAUCUACGGAUGAAAGCGGGGGAUCGCAAGACCUCGCGCGGACGGAGCGGCCGAUGGCAGAUUAGGUAGUUGGUGGGAUAAAAGCUUACCAAGCCGACGAUCUGUAGCUGGUCUGAGAGGACGACCAGCCACACUGGGACUGAGACACGGCCCAGACUCCUACGGGAGGCAGCAGUGGGGAAUUUUGGACAAUGGGCGCAAGCCUGAUCCAGCCAUGCCGCGUGCAGGAUGAAGGCCUUCGGGUUGUAAACUGCUUUUGUACGGAACGAAAAGCUCUCUCUAAUACAGGGGUGAAUGACGGUACCGUAAGAAUAAGCACGGCUAACUACGUGCCAGCAGACC